rnacentral:rRNA from 1 species
AUUGAACGCUGGCGGCAGGCCUAACACAUGCAAGUCGAGCGGAUGAAGGGAGCUUGCUCCUGGAUUCAGCGGCGGACGGGUGAGUAAUGCCUAGGAAUCUGCCUGGUAGUGGGGGAUAACGUCCGGAAACGGGCGCUAAUACUGCAUACGUCCUGAGGGAGAAAGUGGGGGAUCUUCGGACCUCACGCUAUCAGAUGAGCCUAGGUCGGAUUAGCUAGUUGGUGGGGUAAAGGCCUGCCAAGGCGACGAUCCGUAACUGGUCUGAGAGGAUGAUCAGUCACACUGGAACUGAGACACGGUCCAGACUCCUACGGGAGGCAGCAGUGGGGAAUAUUGGACAAUGGGCGAAAGCCUGAUCCAGCCAUGCCGCGUGUGUGAAGAAGGUCUUCGGAUUGUAAAGCACUUUAAGUUGGGAGGAAGGGCAGUAAGUUAAUACCUUGCUGUUUUGACGUUACCAACAGAAUAAGCACCGGCUAACUUCGUG